rnacentral:rRNA from 1 species
GACGUAGGAUGCGAGCGUUGUCCGGCUUUAUUGGGCGUAAAGAGUUCGUAGGCGGUUUUUUUAGUCUGGUGUUAAAUACUGGAGCUCAACUCCAGCGCGGCAUUAGAUACUGGAAGACUAGAGUGCGAUAGAGGUCAUGGGGAUUCCCGGUGUAGCGGUGAAAUGCGUAGAUAUCGGGAGGAACACCAUCGGCGAAAGCGCGUGACUGGGUCGGAACUGACGCUGAGGAACGAAAGCCAGGGGAUCGAAAGGG